rnacentral:rRNA from 1 species
CCUACGGGUGGCAGCAGUGAGGAAUAUUGGUCAAUGGACGCAAGUCUGAACCAGCCAUGCCGCGUGCAGGAAGACGGCUCUAUGAGUUGUAAACUGCUUUUGUACGAGGGUAAACGCAGAUACGCGUACCUGUCUGAAAGUACCGUACGAAUAAGGAUCGGCUAACUCCGUGCCAGCAGCCGCGGUAAUACGGAGGAUUCAAGCGUUAUCCGGAUUUAUUGGGUUUAAAGGGUGCGUAGGCGGUCGGUUAAGUCAGAGGUGAAAUCCCGGGGCUCAACGGCGGCAUUGCCGCUGAUACUGGUCGGCUAGAGAGUAGUGGCGGUAGGCGGAAUGUAUGGUGUAGCGGUGAAAUGCUUAGAGAUCAUACAGAACACCGAUUGCGAAGGCAGCUUACCAAGCUGCUACUGACGUUGAGGCACGAAAGCGUGGGGAGCAAACAGGAUUAGAUACCCUUGUAGUC